AUUUGAUUAGAAUUUUAAUUAGUAUUUAGAAUUUGUCUAGAAUUUUGUUAGGAUUUAAGGUUUUUUUUGGAUUUGAUUAAGAUUUACUAGGAUUUGAUUUGGAUUUGAUAAGGAUUUGAUUAGGAUUCAUUAAGGUUGGUCUAGGAUUUAGGAUUUUAUUAGGAUUUGACCAAAUAUUUGAUUAAGGUUUAUUAGGAUUUUAAUUAGGAUUAAAUAAAAAUUUGAUCAAAUUUUAUUUUUUAUAUUUCUUUAAGGUUCUUUGUUUUUUCUUUUAAAAUUUAUAUUUCUAGUAUUUCUUUAAGAUUAUUUUUAUUUCU
rnacentral:lncRNA from 1 species